rnacentral:rRNA from 1 species
AUACGUAGGUGACAAGCGUUAUCCGGAAUUAUUGGGCGUAAAGAGUGAGCAGGCGGUUAAUUAAGUCUGAGGUUAAAGCGUGGGGCUCAACCCCAUAAAGCCUUGGAAACUGAUUGACUAGAGUACGGGAGAAGUGAAGGGAACUCCAUGUGUAGCGGUGAAAUGCGUAGAUAUAUGGAAGAACACCAGUGGCGAAGGCGCUUCACUAGCCCGAAACUGACGCUCAGUCACGAAAGCGUGGGUAGCAAAUAGGAUUAGAUACCCUAGUAGUCCACGCUGUAAACGAUGACAACUAAAUAUUGCCGCGAGGCAGUGUUGAAGCUAACGCAUUAAGUUGUCCGCCUGGGGAGUACGGUCGCAAGACUGAAACUCAAAGGAAUUGACGGGG